rnacentral:rRNA from 1 species
UACGAAGGGUGCAAGCGUUGUUCGGAUUUAUUGGGCGUAAAGCGCGCGCAGGCGGAUUCAUAAGUCAGGUGUGAAAUCUCGAGGCUUAACCUCGAAACUGCGCCUGAAACUAUGAAUCUGGAAUCUCGGAUGGGGAAGGGGAAUUUCACAUGUAGGGGUAAAAUCCGUAGAGAUGUGAAGGAACACCAGAGGCGAAGGCGCCUUCCUGGACGAGUAUUGACGCUGAGGCGCGAAAGCGUGGGGAGCAAACAGG